CCCUGAAAGGCAUAAGAUUUAGAACAUGAAGAGACACCAGAAAUCAACUCUAAAUUAAACAGAAACCAAGCAAACCCAGAAUUUUGGCCCACUUCUGACUCCGAAUUCAGGGCCCUUUCAAAAAGAAAAAUGGUUUUAUUUACUUUUUAGCUUUUCUUGUUAAGAUAACAAGGCAGGAAGGAGCUUGACUUGCCACAUCUCUGAGCUAAUGUGCAAUUAUAGAUAAAGCCCAGGCUGGAGAUUUAACUUUUAGUCCCAGGUUUGGCCCUAGACUACUUACUGAGUGACCUCGGGUGAGCCACUUAACUCUGGGCUUCCAUCUGCCCAUCUAGAAAAUGGGGCUCUGGAUGGCCUCCAAGGUCCCUUCCCACUCCCACGUUCCGGUUUCCCCAGGGGCUUUAUUUAAAAGCAAAACCCCAAGUUCACGUCUGUCACCAUCCGAGGCUUCCACUGUCUCCUUCCUCAUAUAGGUGCUCUUCCUCGGAUGCACCCCUACAUGCAGGGCACAUAUGCCUCUGCCAUCUCAUCCAUUCAUGGCACACGUAUUGCGGGUGUUUGGUCCAGAGCAACAAAGCUCAAGUAUAGGACACAGCUCAAGUACAGGUGAGCCGCCAAGUUAAGGAGGGAAGCCCAGACCAGCCCACCUGUGCUAGAAAAGAGGGCACUCUAGUUCUUUCCCGAAGGUUACCCUGAUCCCUUCCUCUUUUUCUCCCUCCUUUCUUUUCUUCUCCCCCAUCCCUCUUCAGAUCUUCUCGCUUCCCUCCCUCUGCCUAUCCCUCUCCCUCCUUCCUCCCCCCCCCCACUUUCCUUGUCUCUACCUCUCCCAGCGCCGCCACCUUGCACCCCAGCUGAGACUCGAACCUCUUACCAGGGGCUGCACGCCCAAGUAGCAGGCCAGGAGGUAGGCACUCACUUCCAAGUCAUUGCGCUUGGGGGGAGGAGGUAGGGCAGGAGGGGGGAGGAGAGAGGGCCGGGGGAGGGGGCAAGGGGGAGGUGGCGGCAGAAGCCGGGGGAGAGGAGGAGGAGGAGGAGGAGGAGGAGGAGAGGAGGAGAGGAGGAGGAGGAGGAGAGGAGGAGGAGGAGGAGGAGGAGGAGGAGGAGGAGGAGGAGGAGGAGGAGGAGGAGGAGGAGGAGGAGGAGGAGGAGGAGGAGGAGGAGGAGGAGGAGGAGGAGGGCGAGGCGGACUAGGCAUGCUCGCUCAGCAGCGGCCGCUUCAGGCUGGGCUGCUCUCUCUCUCUCGCUUGCUUGCUCGCUCACAACCCCGCGGCCGGGGACGGCGGCGGCGGCGGCGGCGGGGCCAGCAGCGGGAGGCAGCAUGAGGGAGCCUCUCGAGCUUCCCUCUUUGCCCCAUUCUUUUUCAGUCCAGCAAACAGGAGAGUCCACAAUCUUCAAAGAGAUCAAAAUCAGUGUGAGUUGGGAAUUCAUUUUUUUUUAAAAAUAGAAGUGAGGUUAGAUGAUUUUUAAAUUGCAUGUACUGAACAGUACUUUUUAAUAUAAAAAGAAGGCUUAGCAUUUGAAUUGUUGGAGAUUACAAUGUUAUACUAUUAUUUUAUUUCUUUUUUGGUCUGGAUCUAAGAUUUCAG
ensembl:lncRNA